rnacentral:rRNA from 1 species
UACGUAGGGGGCAAGCGUUGUCCGGAAUCAUUGGGCGUAAAGAGCGUGUAGGCGGCCAGAUAAGUCCGCUGUGAAAUCUCGAGGCUCAACUUCGAGCUGUCGGUGGAAACUGUCUGGCUAGAGUCCGGAAGAGGAGAAUGGAAUUCCUGGUGUAGCGGUGAAAUGCGCAGAUAUCAGGAGGAACACCAAUAGCGAAGGCAGCUCGCUGGGACGGUACUGACGCUAAGGCGCGAAAGCGUGGGGAGCGAACAGG